UGCUAACUGGUAGCUAUAGCUCUUCACAACGGCACGUCAAGCAACAGGGGGAAUUGACGCAUUUGACCCGAAGAUGAAACAUGUAGAGAGCUACCUGCUCAUGGACUUCAGCGCAUGACGUCUCCGAAGGCUGCUUCAAGUCCAACAGUGAUUCCCGUGUUGUCGUGCAUAUCCAUGCUGAGUUCCUUGAUGACGAAGGACACUACACCGGGGAUUCAGACUGCAGUACGCAUGAACCUCAACACAAGGCUUGCUGUGACCUCUUUAUCUGGCUGGCUCGUCUGUGAACUGCACCAACGCCAACAUUGCCUCAGUCUGCUUUGCAGGGUUCCCAAAGACCUUGUCCAGAAUGAGUUCCACGAACAUGAACAUAACCUUUUCACACAAAACAUACAGAAAAAAGCACACAUAUUGUUUAGAAUUCUAAUUCUCCUAUUUUGUAGACUUAAUGUGCUAUUGAAGUAACGCCAAUAAAAAAUGUUAUGUCAAAUUGA